CUUUGGCCGUGAGGAGGCGGCGGCCGCGGCUCCCGGGACGUCCCGUCCCUGCGGGACGCCCGUCCCGAUUCUCGGCCUGAAAUUCCUCUUGCUAGUCUUCCAUUCUGUUAAAUGCUUCGCAAACCAGAGCAAAGGAAGAGACAUGAAGAGUUGAAUUUCACUGCCUUGUUUGGAACUGGGUGGAAAUCCUGGAGAUGGAUCUCUUAGGAGUCUGUCUUCCAAUUGGGUUAGAUGCACAGGAGCAAUGGAUCGCCCCAGCUACCUGGAAGAGGACUAUUCUAGCCUGGAUGGGCUGGACGAUGACGUGUUUCACUCUGAUGACUUUGGACUUGCAGGUCAGCCUGGUGAGAUGACUGCAACUGGCUUUUUCACACAGAACCAGUCCUACAGCUGCCUUCUGGGGAGGUUUCAACUAUUCCCCCUCACACACUGCUGUGGUCCCGGUAUCAGGCAUCCUGAGCAGCAGGACAAGGCAACUCAAACACUCAGCCCGUCCUCUUCCAGUCAGGAUGUUAUGUUGCCUUGUGGAGUCACUGAAGAGCCACGGAGACUCUUCUAUGGGAAUGCUGGUUACCGUUUACAUGUCCCUCCAGCUGGCUUUGGGUUGGAUCCACACCUCCAAGAGGAACCUCAGGAAGGUCAGCAGGAAGCACGUGCUGAGGUGCAGAUUGCACGGAAGUUGCAGUGCAUUGCCGACCAGUUCCACCGGCUCCACAUACAGAGGGAAAAAUCUUCCGAAAAGUUUCCUAUUAAUGUAAUACAGAGACUCAGACGGUCCUGCAGCUGAGACUGUAGCACCGGCAGCUCCGUACUUUACUUGUACCUGCAGUCUCUUUGAGACUUGGGAAGAGGUGGGCUUGGAAGUGCACCUUCCCCUAUGCAUACAAAUGAUACAACAACCUAUUGCCCCUUACCUAGCACCCGUUCUGAAAUCCUGCUGCCUGUGGAGCUGAUUACUUGACAUUUAGGUUAACAGAAACUUGCUGGACCCUUUCACAUCUGAUCUGAAAUCGUGUUCUUUGGUAUGUUAAGAAACUGAGAAAUGUACAUAGUUAUGCCACUGUAUAAAUUUAUGUUUCUCCUAUAUCUUGAAUGUUACACACAAUUCUCGUUUUCUUCUUCCAAAAAUGAUGUGGCAGAACUGCAUCUCUGAAAAGGUUCAGAGAAAGGCAAGAAGAAUGAUGAAACUUCCAUAUGAAAAAAUGGGCUAGGACUGCUAAGCCUAAAAAAAGACACAAAGCAAGAGGGAAGCAACAUUAAACAGAAAUCAAAAGUGAUGUGAAGGAGAUGGAUAGACCAACUUCUCCCAGUACAAGAACUAGGCAAAAUAAAGUCAAGCUAGUAGGAGCCAGUUCAAAGUAAAUGAGGUAUUUUUUUUUUUUUUCAUGCAACAGGUAGCUCUGUGGAGCUCCUUGUCAAGGCAUAUUGUGCAUCCCAGUGCUUUAUCUGGGUUCAAGGGGAAUCGAGACAAGUUUAUGGCCAUUGAAGCAGACAUUAAAUAAACAGAAACCAGAUCUAACUCGGGAAGUCCUAAGCUCAAACUAGUUAGAUGCUGAAAGAGUAUUAGGGGGAGCUAUUGCGUGUACUUGCCCUCAGCUUUUCUUCAGGCAGCCUUGUAAUGCUGCUGUUGGAGGCUGGGCUAUGCAAACUCUUGAUGCAAGUCACAUACAACCACUGUGUAUCAGUUAAAUAAAAACCACAAAACUUUUGCAUCAGCCUAAUCUAGCCUUCUUCUCUAUGCUUUCAGCUGACAAGAGAUUUAAAUAUAUUAUGGGUUUGUUCCUGCUUAAAAUAAGGGAUAAUGUUAAAAAGCAAAACUUCCUGCCUAGCUCUGGUAGAGGAAGUGGGCAGAGGAUAAGGGAGCUGGGUGGCGGCAGGAGAGCCCUGCAAGCUCUGUGCAAUGGUACACUGUGAAUCCUUCACCCUGCCAGACACAGAACUGCGCUGUCUUCAGGCAGUGAGGCCACAACCUCAAAAGACCAAGAUUGCCCACAAUAAAGAGCACAAAAUAGU